UACGUAGGGGGCAAGCGUUGUCCGGAUUUAUUGGGCGUAAAGAGCGUGUAGGCGGCCAGACAGGUCCGUUGUGAAAACUCGAGGCUCAACCUCGAGAUGUCGAUGGAAACCGUCUGGCUAGAGUCCGGAAGAGGAGUGUGGAAUUCCUGGUGUAGCGGUGAAAUGCGCAGAUAUCAGGAGGAACACCAGUAGCGAAGGCGGCUCGCUGGGCCAUUCCUGACGCUGAGACGCGAAAGCUAGGGGAGCGAACAGG
rnacentral:rRNA from 1 species